GAUGAACGCUGGCGGCGUGCCUAAUACAUGCAAGUCGAGCGAACAGACGAGGAGCUUGCUCCUCUGACGUUAGCGGCGGACGGGUGAGUAACACGUGGAUAACCUACCUAUAAGACUGGGAUAACUUCGGGAAACCGGAGCUAAUACCGGAUAAUAUAUUGAACCGCAUGGUUCAAUAGUGAAAGACGGUUUUGCUGUCACUUAUAGAUGGAUCCGCGCCGCAUUAGCUAGUUGGUACGGUAACGGCUUACCAAGGCAACGAUGCGUAGCCGAGCUGAGAGGGUGAUCGGCCACACUGGAACUGAGACACGGUCCAGACUCCUACGAGAGGCAGCAGUAGGGAAUCUUCCGCAAUGGGCGAAAGCCUGACGGAGCAACGCCGCGUGAGUGAUGAAGGUCUUCGGAUCGUAAAACUCUGUUAUUAGGGAAGAACAAAUGUGUAAGUAACUAUGCACGUCUUGACGGUACCUAAUCAGAAAGCCACGGCUAACUACGUG
rnacentral:rRNA from 1 species